rnacentral:lncRNA from 1 species
CUAUCGCAUCAUUACGUCGUAGUAAUCCUACUAAUGACCUUAUGGUUUGGAUUCAAUCAUUGGUUCUAUAAGAACCCCUUCAUUCAAAACACCUUUUUGAAGCAGUUUCUAAAACAAUAUAUCGUCAUAUAUUUCGUUUGUAUACUUUAUACAAACUUUGCUCCAACCUUGAGACCAUUGUAGUACAAUACUAACAAUUCAUUCAUACGAUUAGUACUUCAUCCAUUAUGAAGUUCCAUUUGUUAAAAUGGCUUAUAUUCACUUUGGUUAACAACCUAAGUGAAUGCACGCUUCCAGAGUCCCACUCUGAUGUUUCUUUCUUAAAGGCAAUAAUACUCUGUCAGUUGCUUUGGUUCUGAUCCUGGGAUUUAGUAAUAUCUUAUAGUGACAACCCCUGUGGUUCUUCACUUUUGGAUAUCUACUUCACAAGUCCAUACAUGUGUCCCUUUUGUGAUUUUGUGACAUAUUCAUUAUAAGGGUUAUGAAAGUGUUUUUCUAUCACAUAGAAAAAUGCUUUCUUAAAUCCACAACAUUUGAGAUUUAAUUCCCAUAUAACAUUAUUGAGAUAGCCUUGCUAUAUCAAUAAGCCCAAUUUCAAGUCUAUACUUCAAAAUUGACCAUGUCAUGUUUUGUCAUUUCUCGAGUAACAUCUAUGUUUUAUCAAGUCUAUCGAAUAGACUUUAUUCACAUCUUGUUGCUCAAAUUAUGACAUCACUCCUACUGGCCUUGUUGUAACUUAGCAUUCAUACAAAAUAACAAUUAUAUUUUCUUGAUUUGAAUGCAUAUUGCUCCCACUAACUUAAAUGAAUCACACACAAAAGAAUUCCUUCUUAAGUAAUUCCAUUUGAAAUGUGUGACUUGUUUCAUUAAGUCUAUUCAUUUAAAUUAUAUGGUGUCAUACACCAUACUUCAAGUUUUAGUCAUACUAAGACCUUUAAUGUAGUCAUAUAAGAAUUAUCCAAGUCUUUAGUAGAAGCAUGGCUCCUACUAAGGAUAUAGAAACUCAACCAUUCCUUCUAGGUGGUUGAUAUAAUUCUUUAUUAAAACUACAUAGAGCAAUAUUGUUACAUGAGAUGUUGAAUUUUGGAUUGUCUUGUUGUUAAACCAUAUGUUGUGACUCAGUUUGAAACUAUUUCCCUUUUGUUUCAUCAACUUGUCCAUAUGCUUAGUUAUUUAGCUUGUUCUCAUAAAAGAGAAUGAUGGACAACUCCCAACAUAUAACCAUUUUAUGCUAGGUUGACGAAAUCAACAUUCAAAGACUAUUCUUUAGAAUGUCACACAACAUAGAAUUUUAACGUUUGAAGAGCUUGAGUCCUUUUAACAAUUAAAAUUACAAACCUUUUAAUAAUAGUCAAGUA